UACGUAGGGUGCGAGCGUUAAUCGGAAUUACUAGGCGUAAAGCGUGCGCAGGCGGUUGGUUAAGUCUGAUGUGAAAGCCCCGGGCUCAACCUGGGAAUGGCAUUGGAAACUGGCUGGCUAGAGUGUGGCAGAGGGGGGUGGAAUUCCGCGUGUAGCAGUGAAAUGCGUAGAGAUGCGGAGGAACACCGAUGGCGAAGGCAGCCCCCUGGGCUGACACUGACGCUCAGGCACGAAAGCGUGGGGAGCAAACAGG
rnacentral:rRNA from 1 species